rnacentral:lncRNA from 1 species
CAUGCAGCAAUAUGGUGGGGACACAUACCACAGCUGAGCUCUGGACAGGAGGUUUUCCAUUUUAUAAGGAACUCAAACCACCAAGAAAACCAGCUUAUCCCACAAAAUAUUUUUACACUUCUCUAGAACUCAGUAAGAGGCCCUCAACGGAUUGGAUGAUGCCUGUCCACGGUCCACAUCGGUGAGGGUGAUUGUCUUUACUCAGUCUAUUGAGUCAAACACUAAUCUAUUCUGGAAACACUCUCAGACUCACCCAGAAGUAAUGUUUUGCCAGCCAUCGGAGCAUCCUCUGGCUUAGUCAAGUUAACACAUAGAAUUAACCAUCACAGAAGGCAACAGAAAAACCUUUAAAGAAUCAAUAGAAAAUAUGUGCAUCAGAAAAUAUUGCUGGCUUACCCAAAAGCUAUUUCCCUCUUGUUCCUUACUAACAAUCUGUACUUUGUUUAUAUUUGAGGAAGUAAUGUACUCAAGGAAGUUUUGUCUCUAACCUAGCAUUCAAGGAUGCCAAGACAAUCAUGUUAAUCCCAUUUCCUCUACCAGUGAUUUUGUGUGGAGGUGGGCAUAUCACUCACUUCUAACCAAAA